AUCAAACCAUCAUAACUGGUGGACAAUAUGAUUUUCGGGUCACUUCUGAGGACAGCUAAGGAAUUAACAUUUUUCAUGUGCCCAGAAAAUGACACGGGAGGUUUUUCCAGAUCACUUGCUGAGAAUAUGGAAAUAGUUCCACCAAGAGAAACAGUAACAAGAUGGUCAUUUUGCCAGAGACAGCCAACUAGCAUGUCCUCAACUCCACCAGAACCAGGAGAAGCCAGUGUUUUCUUCACUUUCCCUUUUCCAUCAUCAGAUAUAUCCCAUACUUUUGCUGACUUAUCAGCAGAGACUGUGAGCACCUGUUUACUAUCGGGACUCCAACUAACAGCAUAUAUACUUCCUUGAUGACCACCCUCAGAUGAUAGCUCUCCAAUUAUAUCUCCUGUUUUGGCAUCAUAAAUAAUGCCCUUCUUGUCCGAACUUACACUGAUAAGUUUGCUUCCGUCUGGAGAGAACCUCAAACAAUUGACAAAAUUUGAAUGCUCCCUGUGAGACAGCUUGAAUUUAAAUGGUGGUCCUUCAUAAAAGUUCAUCAAGAAGUCUUCGCCGCAAGUGGCUAUGCGGAAUGGUCUUGUGGGUUUAAAAGCGCAACUCAAAACUCUCCUUGAAUGGCCAUCAAAUUCACCCACAUUUGUUCCUGAGUCCCACAUGAAGGCACGAACAAGUGAUUUUCCCUUGCCAUCACCACAAGCAACAAUGCGCAUUCCAUCAGGAGACCAUUGAAGGUCAUCGAUCCGACCCGAUAGUACCCGAAACUCUUUCUUAAGAACGAAGUCAUUAUGGGUCCCCCAGAUCCGAACAGUACCUGAAACAUCAGCAGAAGCGAUCCAUUCACCAUUAGGAGAAUAACGAGCGACUGUAGCCUGAUAAGCAUGCUCCCCGUAAACUGCAACUUGGAGGGGGCGAUCGAGAUACCGGAUAAUAACGGAUCGGCCGUUACAAUAAAGGAUAGAGUUGGAUUUGGUGUCACCCGAAAUGAGAAUACCGCGACCUCGUUCGGUAGAAGGUAUACAAGCGUAAGUUUCUUUGAGGUCAGCCAUGGAGAUUUGUUGUGUUUAUGGAGAAAAAG
rnacentral:misc_RNA from 1 species